rnacentral:misc_RNA from 1 species
GAUGAAGAACGUAGCGAAAUGCGAUAAGUAAUGUGAAUUGCAGAAUUCAGUGAAUCAUCGAAUCUUUGAACGCACCUUGCGCUCCUUGGUAUUCCAAAGAGCAUGCCUGUUUGAGUAUCAUUAAAUUAUCAACUGUACCAAUUUGGUUGCAGAUUGGAUGUGGGAGAUUUUGCAGGCUUUUGAUUUCUCUUUGAGAAAACGGUCAGCUCUCCUGAAAUAUAUUAGCAGUGCCUUUGUUGGUUCAUUAGGUGUGAUAAUUUAUCUACAUCUUCACAUGGUACCUUCAUUUGUGUAAAGGUCAUAUUGCUUCUAAUUGUCUUUGGACAUAAAAAAAAAAAAAACAUAUAAUUGUAUGGAAAACUUGAUCUCAAAUCAGGCAGGACUACCCGCUGAACUUAAGCAUAUCAAUAAGCGGAGG